AACGAACGCUGGCGGCAUGCCUAACACAUGCAAGUCGAACGAGACCUUCGGGUCUAGUGUCGCCCGGGUGCGUAACGCGUGGGAACCUGCCCUUAGGUUCGGAAUAACUCCCCGAAAGGGGUGCUAAUACCGGAUAAUGUCUUCGGACCAAAGAUUUAUCGCCUUUGGUUGUGCCCGCGUUGGAUUAGCUAGUUGUUAGGGUAAAAGCCUACUAGGGCGACGAUCCAAAGCUGGUCUGAGAGAAGGCUCAGCAACACUGGGACUGCACCACGCCCAGACUCCUACGGGAGGGAGCAGUGGGGAAUAAUGGACAAUGGGCGAAAGCCUGAUCCAGCAAUGCCGCGUGAGUGAUGAAGGCCUUAGGGUUGUAAAGCUCUUUUACCCGGGAUGAUAAUGACAGUACCGGGAGAAUAAGCUCCGGCUAACUCCGU
rnacentral:rRNA from 1 species